rnacentral:rRNA from 1 species
UAUAAUAAAAAAUGUAAUAAUUUAAUUGUCUUUUAAUUAAUUUACUUUAUUUUUAUUUUUUUUUAAAAAACUGAAAAGGAAAUUAUUAUUAUAAUUUAAUAGAAAAAUUAAUGUACCUUUUGCAUUAGGGGUUUUUAAAAAAAAAUAAAAAUUUAUUUUUCUCGAAAUAUUUUGAGCUAAAAUUUAAUUUUUCUAAUAUUUCAAUAUUAAAUUAAAAUAAAUUUUAGAGGUGAAAUUCUUAUCAAAAAAUAUAAUAUCUAGUUAAAAAAUUUAAUUAAAUAUUAUUUUGUAAUAUUAUUUUAUUUUUUAAAAUUACAAAAAAAAAUUUUUGGGAUAAGCUAAAAAUUAUUAAAUUUAUGAUAUUUUAAAAAUUAAUAAAAGAAUUAAAAUUUUUCUAUUUAUUUUUAUAAAUAAAUUAAAUUAAAUUAAAAAAAAAUUUUUUUUUUAAAAUUAAAUUUAAUUUAAAAUUUAAAAAAAAAUGAAAAUAUUAGUAAAAAAUUUUUUAUUUAUAAUUUUUAAAUAUUAAUUAAAAGUUAAUUAAAUUUAAUUUUAAAGAACUAGGCAAUUAUUUUUUUUGACUGUUUAAUAAAAACAACGCAUUUAGAUAAACAAUAAAUGCAAAUCCUGCUCAAUGAAAAUUUUUUUAAAUUGCUGUAGUAUUUUGACUAUACAAAGGUAUUGAAAUAAGAUUUUAAUUGAAUGCUAAGAGAAUGGAAUAUCAAAGAAUAACUUUCUUAAAAUUAAAAAUUGAAAUUUUUUUAAUUUGUGUAAAAACAAUUAUAAAAAUUAAAGACAAGAAGACCCUAAGAAUUUUUAAAAUUUAAAUUAAUACAUUUUUGUUUUAAUUAAAUUUUAACUGGGGCGGUUAAAAAAUAUUAAAAACUUUUUAAUUUUGAAAAAUGGUCCAUUAUUAAUGAAAAUAUGAUAAAAUACUCUAGGGAUAACAGCGUUAUAUUUUUUGAUAGAUCAUAUUGACAAAAAAGUUUGCGACCUCGAUGUUGGAUUAGGAUACUUUUUUAAUGAAGAUAUUAAAAUAAGAAGUUUGUUCAACUUUUAAAUUCCUACAUGAUCUGAGUUUAGACCGAUGAGAAUCAGGUUGGAUUCUAUCUUAAUAAAAAACAAAUUUUAUUUAGUACGAAAGGAAUUUUAAAAUCUAAUUUUUUAGUUUUAUUCAUUUUAUUUGCAUCAAUUUUUGUAAUU